CCGAAUAAACCAUCCAAUCGAGUCCAUAUUAUAAACCGGAGGAACCCAUUCACCUUUUUGCUUUUUUCUUUUUCUUCUGGAAUUUGUUCUUCCUUAUCAAAUUCUCGAUUCUAAGAAAAUGAACGGUUUGUUUUUCCGGCUACUUUCGUGUAUGGUGAAAUACCUCUUUUACCCUUGUUUUUUGUACGUGCAUCUUCUCAUGCUUUGGGGGCAAGAAUGUAAAAUCACAAACAAAGCAAAGGAAAACCCUCGUCUGCGAUGCGGAAGUGGACAAGCAAAGUCUUCUCCGACUUCGUCUCAUGUGAGACAAUAAAGGGAGAAGUCCCUGCUGGUUUAAAUUUCGCAGCAGGUAUGGGAGGCCCUGUUAUUUUUUUUAUUCCACAAGUCUGCAACAAUGGGCGGCGCAAUCAGUACCCCUUUAACCGAGCAGCUUCAAAGUGAUUGUAUUGUUGAGGGUCAAGCUUAUGAAAUACAAAGUACUGAAGUGGAUGGAAAUGAUGCACUAGUUGUUUACACUGCAGUACAGCUCGUGAAAUGGCCAUUACAGAACAAAGACUCCUUUUAAUUGAGCAUAUUGGUUUCUUCAUCAUAGUUCCUACUAGAGCAUCAUUUUAUAGAGCUCAUGUACUUCCCAAUCACAGCAGGCCGAUAUGCUUUAUUUCCACCCAGCAUUGGCCAGUUUGGUAUCAUUUUCAUUUUUUGUUUUUAUCUUUUAGAAAGCACACUACUUCUUUGGUGAAUGGUUUUUGAAAAGGUGAGAAUGUGAGAUUUUGGGAACAUUUCUAUUGAUUAGGUUGAUCAUGAUUGAUAGGACCAAAUUUGAUGUGUGGUGGUUGGGAUCAAAUCUAACAUAGUGAUCCUGAACCACCGAAUAUUUUUUCUUGAAUCUGAUAUUUCAUUCAAAUUAUUUUUUUUUAAAAAAACAUUGAGUGCAGCGAUA